rnacentral:rRNA from 1 species
AUUGAACGCUGGCGGCAUGCCUUACACAUGCAAGUCGAACGGUAACGCGGGGCAACCUGGCGACGAGUGGCGAACGGGUGAGUAAUGUAUCGGAACGUGCCCAGUUGUGGGGGAUAACUGCUCGAAAGAGCAGCUGAUACCGCAUACGACCUGAGGGUGAAAGCGGGGGAUCGCAAGACCUCGCGCAAUUGGAGCGGCCGAUAUCAGAUUAGGUAGUUGGUGGGGUAAAGGCCCACCAAGCCAACGAUCUGUAGCUGGUCUGAGAGGACGACCAGCCACACUGGGACUGAGACACGGCCCAGACUCCUACGGGAGGCAGCAGUGGGGAAUUUUGGACAAUGGACGCAAGUCUGAUCCAGCCAUGCCGCGUGCGGGAAGAAGGCCUUCGGGUUGUAAACCGCUUUUGUCAGGGAAGAAAAGGGCGACUCUAAUACAGUUGCCUCAUGACGGUACCUGAAGAAUAAGCACCGGCUAACUACGUGCCAGCAGCCGCAGUAAAAC